GACGAACCGUGCGAACGUUGUUCGGAAUCACUGGGCUUAAAGGGCGCGUAGGCGGGCGGGCAAGUCAGGGGUGAAAUCCCACGGCUCAACCGUGGAAGUGCCUUUGAUACUGCCGGUCUGGAGGGAGGUAGGGGCGUGCGGAACUUCCGGUGGAGCGGUGAAAUGCGUAGAUAUCGGAAGGAACACCGGUGGCGAAAGCGGCGCGCUGGAUCUCUUCUGACGCUGAGGCGCGAGAGCGUGGGGAGCGAACAGG
rnacentral:rRNA from 1 species